rnacentral:siRNA from 1 species
CAGAUGUUUACAUGUUGAGAAAAU